rnacentral:rRNA from 2 species
GCAGAAGAGGACAGUGGAACUCCAUGUGUAGCGGUGGAAUGCGUAGAUAUAUGGAAGAACACCAGUGGCGAAGGCGGCUGUCUAGUCUGUAACUGACGCUGAGGCUCGAAAGCAUGGGUAGCGAACAGGAUUAGAUACCCUGGUAGUCCACGCCGUAAACGAUGAGUGCUAAGUGUUGGAGGGUUUCCGCCCUUCAGUGCUGCAGCUAACGCAUUAAGCACUCCGCCUGGGGAGUACGACCGCAAGGUUGAAACUCAAAGGAAUUGACGGGGGCCCGCACAAGCGGUGGAGCAUGUGGUUUAAUUCGAAGCUACGCGAAGAACCUUACCAGGUCUUGACAUCCUUUGCCCAUCUUAGAGAUAAAGCUUUCCCUUCGGGGACAAAAUGACAGGUGGUGCAUGGUUGUCGUCAGCUCGUGUCGUGAGAUGUUGGGUUAAGUCCCGCAACGAGCGCAACCCUUAUUAUUAGUUGCCAGCAUUCAGUUGGGCACUCUGGUGAGACUGCCGGUGACAAACCGGAGGAAGGUGGGGAUGACGUCAAAUCAUCAUGCCCCUUAUGACCUGGGCUACACACGUGCUACAAUGGGAAGUACAACGAGUCGCGAAGUCGCGAGGCUAAGCUAAUCUCUUAAAGCUUGUUCUCAGUUCGGAUUGUAGGCUGCAAACUCGCCUACCAGAAACCGGAAUCGCUAGUAAUCGCGUAUUAAAUUCCCUUUA